rnacentral:rRNA from 1 species
CAUGCAAGUCGAGCGGCAGCACGGGGAGCUUGCUCCCUGGUGGCGAGCGGCGGACGGGUGAGUAAUGCAUAGGAAUCUGCCCGAUAGUGGGGGAUAACGUGGGGAAACCCACGCUAAUACCGCAUACGUCCUACGGGAGAAAGCGGAGGAUCUUCGGACUUCGCGCUAUCGGAUGAGCCUAUGUCGGAUUAGCUAGUUGGUAAGGUAACGGCUUACCAAGGCGACGAUCCGUAGCUGGUCUGAGAGGAUGAUCAGCCACACUGGGACUGAGACACGGCCCAGACUCCUACGGGAGGCAGCAGUGGGGAAUAUUGGACAAUGGGCGAAAGCCUGAUCCAGCCAUGCCGCGUGUGUGAAGAAGGCUUUCGGGUUGUAAAGCACUUUCAGCGAGGAAGAAAGCCUUUGGGUUAAUACCCCAGAGGAAGGACAUCACUCGCAGAAGAAGCACCGGCUAACUCCGUGCCAGCAGCCGCGGUAAUACGGAGGGUGCGAGCGUUAAUCGGAAUUACUGGGCGUAAAGCGCGCGUAGGUGGCUUGGCACGCCGGUUGUGAAAGCCCCGGGCUCAACCUGGGAACUGCAUCCGGAACGGCCAGGCUAGAGUGCAGGAGAGGAAGGUAGAAUUCCCGGUGUAGCGGUGAAAUGCGUAGAGAUCGGGAGGAAUACCAGUGGCGAAGGCGGCCUUCUGGCCUGACACUGACACUGAGGUGCGAAAGCGUGGGUAGCAAACAGGAUUAGAUACCCUGGUAGUCCACGCCGUAAACGAUGUCGACUAGCCGUUGGGACCUUUAAGGACUUAGUGGCGCAGUUAACGCGAUAAGUCGACCGCCUGGGGAGUACGGCCGCAAGGUUAAAACUCAAAUGAAUUGACGGGGGCCCGCACAAGCGGUGGAGCAUGUGGUUUAAUUCGAUGCAACGCGAAGAACCUUACCUACCCUUGACAUCCAGAGAACUUUCCA